rnacentral:lncRNA from 1 species
AGAACAAUUUUACUGAAUAUUUUUAUUUACUUAACAGAAACAUUCACUUAUUAGAUAUCACUGAAGUGCAAUUUAUAGAACUUAGAGGCAAAUUAACAUGUAAAUUCAUAUUUUAAGGUUUUGGAUUUUUUUUUACAAAUAUUACAAAUGUACAUCCAUUGAUACAAUAUUGCCAUUCUAUCAUGCUUUUUAUGUACAUACCUUCAAUUAGAAUUACUAUGUGUUAAGUUCAUUUUGCUUACAAAAUGCUGAAAACUAACGGGGCACACUGGGAGAGAUUUUUUUUUUUUUACCGAUGCAUAAACUGCAGAGAGAUAGAAAUCUAGGGCCUGUGUGAAAAGAGGCACUGGGACCAGGUGAUCUCGCCUUGGUGUUUAGGGAAUGCUCAUCCCUCCAACCUUGGCUUAGGAUGAUGAGUUGGGAAAUAAAGUGUUCCUCUCACCAGGGUUUGAUCUGUCUGCGGUUCCCGCAGGAGUGAUAUUGUUUGGUGUGAAUCUCUAGAGGCCAGCGCGGUGGCUCAUGCCUGUAAUCCCAGCACUCUGGGAGGCCGAGGUGGGCAGAUCACUUGAGGCCAGGAGUUCGAGACUAGCCUGGGCAACAUGGUGAGACCCCAUCUCUACCAAAAAUACAAAAAUUAGCCAAUCUCAUAAGCCGGUCUCAAAAAAGUAAAUAGAUCUCUAGAGAUGUGGCCACCAGCGUUCCUUCUGGUGGGAGGUCAGAACAUGUGGACACAUUCAGGAGAGUCCAAAAAUGACUGCAGCAACUCCCUGUGCACAAGGCAUCAGGAACCCAGCGGGGCUCCCCCAGCCCCAGCAUGAACCUGUUGUGUGGAUCCCUCGUGGGGGGAUGGUGCCUGAGACCUCCUCCUGGGUGGGGGCCACGGCAGCAGAACAAAGGAGCCAGGAGUUUUGGGACAGGGACUAACAAGACAGCAAGAAAGGGAAGAGGCGAGGAGGAGAGAAAGGGUUGAGAAGGGAAGCGAAGAGGCUGAGGGGAGAGUGAGCGGAGGGUGGUGCUGGCCGCCUCUCAGGCUUCCCAGAAACAGCCUGAGAAGGAAGCUCCUCUGUCUCCACCGCAUCUCUGGUUGGUCCCUGUGGCCUCUGCUCCUGCCUCCUCACUUCCCCACCAUCCUUCCUUCACUUUCUCGGAUUCAGAAUUUGUGGGAGAAGUUUGACGGGUCACCAGCAGCCCAGUGUUUCCAGAAACAGCCCUGCUCCUGCAGUGGCGAGGAACCCAGACAGCGGCAAGGCCUACACCGUGUCCUCCAGCCACCCGCCUAGCCCCACACAGUGGCAAAAUACCAAAAGACCCUAAAAUACCAGCGAGGCGGGGGGUGGUCUGUCCCUGCUAAGAGCUGCCUGGGGGUGCUACUGCCUCUCCUGCAACACAGGGCUUCUAAAUUUCCACCUCCAACCGCGAGCUCUGCAAAAACUGCAGGCGAGGACAGGCUUUGGAGGUAUGUGGGAUGGCGGCUCCCUGACAUGGACUAGGGGACUCUGCAGCCUCCCUGAGGGCCGCGGGAAGCCCACAGAGCCUCACCGGGUUCUGUUGGGUGUUAUGAGAGGCGGCUGCAGCGAUCCAACGGUAGUACAUAAAAGGAAAGCCUCUCAGCUUCCCUUUGGUCUCUGUUAGAAAGUGAUACUUAUUGUAUUUUGGGCCAAUUAGUCAGAUUAUUUUAUUAGAAUGGCUUCUUAAAAAAGGGCAUAUAAGUUUCCCUAAAUUAAAAAUGUCUACUUUAUGUACGUCUCAAAUGUCUUCAGUUGUUUUAAACAAUACACUAUAGACACAUCUUGAAAUUUAUUAUCUAAAAAUAGGAUUUCAUCAAAAUAACUAUUCUGGGCAUUGAUAUCCUCUGUAUUUACUGUUUAUGGCUCUCCAGACGUGAUAAACAUUAUAUCCAAAAAAAAAAGCAUGCGACUUUGUUGAUAAGAAAAGCUCCCUGUGAAAACAAAAUGAGAUGGAGAAAUAUGAUCUGUGUGUUUCUUUGAAAAGGAACCCAGCUUGAUGUUUCUGAGGAACAGGACUCAUCACAAAGUCAGCAUGGUGUGAUAGAUAUAUACAGAUGUAAAGAGAAUCACAGGAAUGGAAAGGAAACAAUAGCUAUCGACCUGCACAUCCUUUCCUCAGCAAAAACAAAACCCACAGAAACCCUAACUCUAUCCCUUGAUAUCACACACGGCUGCAAAACCGGGGCUGGAGGUGGACAGCGGAGGCUGCCUGGCCGCGCAGCCGUUCCCUGCGCCCCGUCCUGCAAAAAGGCCAGAAACCACCAGACACUAACUUUUUGACUAAGAACCAGGCCGGAAACCACAUUGCUGAUCUUCCUGAUGGGAAAGCAGUGUGUGUUUUGGAGGCAGAUAAAGGUGGUGCUGGUUUUAUGAGGACUUUUGUAGGGGCCUAAGCAGGCAUGAAUAUAGACUACAGAAAAUCUGAAGCAAGGGUAUGAAUACAGACCACAGAAAAUCUGAAGCAAGGGGCUUGGCGGUGUCAGGUGGUGGGAAGUGCGAGGAAGCCAGACGGUGAUUUCGAGGUGGACUUGGAGGGGCGGGCCUGACUUCAUCAGCCCCCCUUGUGUCGUGCCCAGCGUAUUUUCAGGGUGACAGAAAGUGACCCAUCCCCUACUUGUGUCGUGCCCAGCGUAUUUUCAGGGUGACAGAAAGUGACCCGUCCCCUACUUGUGUCUUGCCCCCUCACUUGGAGGGGAAUGGGUGGCCACUCUUAAGACCAAUUCAGUGGUCAAAACUGCAGGGCAGACAUGGCCUGAAAGUGGUGCUGGGAUGUUCUGACCUGGACCUGAGGGCGAAAUCCUCAGGCUUCAACACGAGCCCUUCCAUCUCUGCAGAGGUGGCACAGCCCCUCCAGGCACAUCCAGGGCUGUGGGAAUCCUGGGACCUGGGUCUUCCAGGCACACCUGGGGCUGUGGGAAUCCUGGGACCCGGCCCCCCCAAGCAUAGCUGGGGCUGUGGGAAUCCUGGGACCCAGCUCUUCCGGGAACUCUUGGGGCUGUGGGAAUCCUGGGACCCGGGUCUUCCAGGCACACCUGGGGCUGUGGGAAUCCUGGGACUCGGCCCCCCCAAGCAUAGCUGGGGCUGUGGGAAUCCUGGGACCCGGGUCUUCCAGGCACACCUGGGGCUGUGGGAAUCCUGGGACCUGGCCCCUUCGGGCACUCCUGGCACUGUGGAAUCCUAGGACCUGGCCCUUCCUGGCUGGGUCAGGCCCUGCCAGUUGGGAGCAGCCUGCGUGUGGCGUGAUCUGGUGUGGCGUGCCUCCUGCGUGUAGGGUCACCCUUGACUGCCUCGACUACCUUCUCCUUUCACUACCCAGGGCCUGGGACCCUCCUUUCCUUACGUGGGGUCCCCUCUGCAGCCCACAUCCCCUCUGACAGAUCCCUCCACGGAAAGGCUCCGGCACCUCAACCUCACUCUGGCUGCAUUGGAAACUCUUCUGUCGCUAUCGGCCUUCUCUGAAGAGCUUUAAUCUCUCCUUCCAUGGAGUCUCCUGUGGACUUAAUACACGAAUCCAUACACUUGUACUAAUGGGUAGCAUGGAAUUAAUGUGUGGCUUUCUCCAGAUGUGGAUGUUGAUAUUUCAGUAAAGUCUGAGUUGUUUCUGGAAGGUCAAUGCCUGAGACAAAACGAAUCCCAACCCCCCAGCUGUGGCUUCAUGAUGCUGGCCACUGGGUGGCCGAGCGCUUUCCGAGUCCCGUGAAUCAGACCCUGCGUCUUCCCUGUGACAGUGAAAUCUGCUUACAACACAGAAUCCUGCCUCUUACAUUUUUUGACAGCUGAACUUUUUUGGGGUCUUGUCCUGCAAGGUGUUGAUUGGAGAAUCUGAAAGAAUAGAGAGCUGGUAGCCUCUCAAGCUGAAGGUAAAGGUUGUUUUGAUUUUAUUUUGUGCUUGCUUUCUAAUGAAAAUUUAGUUAAAAAAUCAGAAUUUG